UACAGAGGGGGCAAGCGUUGUUCGGAAUUACUGGGCGUAAAGGGCGCGUAGGCGGCCUGCUAAGUCGAACGUGAAAUCCCCGGGCUCAACCCGGGAACUGCGUCCGAUACUGGUUGGCUUGAAUCCGGGAGAGGGAUGCGGAAUUCCAGGUGUAGCGGUGAAAUGCGUAGAUAUCAGGAGGAACACCGGUGGCGAAGGCGGGUCUCUGGGCAGUAACUGACGCUGAGGAGCGAAAGCGUGGGGAGCGAACAGG
rnacentral:rRNA from 1 species